rnacentral:rRNA from 1 species
UAGGGAAUCUUCGGCAAUGGGGGGAACCCUGACCGAGCAACGCCGCGUGAGUGAAGAAGGUUUUCGGAUCGUAAAGCUCUGUUGUUAAGGAAGAACGAGUGUGAGAAUGGAAAGUUCAUGCUGUGACGGUACUUAACCAGAAAGGGACGGCUAACUACGUGCCAGCAGCCGCGGUAAUACGUAGGUCCCGAGCGUUGUCCGGUUUUAUUGGGCGUAAAGCGAGCGCAGGCGGUUAGAAAAGUCUGAAGUGAAAGGCAGUGGCUCAACCAUUGUAGGCUUUGGAAACUGUGUAACGUGAGUGCAGAAGAGGAGAGUGGAAUUCCAUGUGUAGCGGUGAAAUGCGUAGAUAUAUGGAGGAACACCGGUGGCGAAAGCGGCUCUCUGGUCUGUAACUGACGCUGAGGCUCGAAAGCGUGGGGAGCGAACAGG